GACGAACGCUGGCGGCGUGCUUAACACAUGCAAGUGGAGCGACGAACCGGGCUUCGGCCCGGGGCAAAGCCGCGAACGGGUGAGUAACACGUGGGUAACCUGCCCCGAUGAUUGGGACAA
rnacentral:rRNA from 1 species